rnacentral:rRNA from 2 species
UUGCUUUUGAAGAUCAGCGGCGGACGGGUGAGUAACACGUGGGCAACCUGCCUGUAAGACUGGGAUAACUUCGGGAAACCGGAGCUAAUACCGGAUAAUCCUUUUCCUCUCAUGAGGAAAAGCUGAAAGACGGUUUCGGCUGUCACUUACAGAUGGGCCCGCGGCGCAUUAGCUAGUUGGUGAGGUAACGGCUCACCAAGGCGACGAUGCGUAGCCGACCUGAGAGGGUGAUCGGCCACACUGGGACUGAGACACGGCCCAGACUCCUACGGGAGGCAGCAGUAGGGAAUCUUCCGCAAUGGACGAAAGUCUGACGGAGCAACGCCGCGUGAGCGAUGAAGGCCUUCGGGUCGUAAAGCUCUGUUGUCAGGGAAGAACAAGUAUCGGAGUAACUGCCGGUACCUUGACGGUACCUGACCAGAAAGCCACGGCUAACUACGUGCCAGCAGCCGCGGUAAUACGUAGGUGGCAAGCGUUGUCCGGAAUUAUUGGGCGUAAAGCGCGCGCAGGCGGUUCCUUAAGUCUGAUGUGAAAGCCCCCGGCUCAACCGGGGAGGGUCAUUGGAAACUGGGGAACUUGAGUGCAGAAGAGGAGAGCGGAAUUCCACGUGUAGCGGUGAAAUGCGUAGAGAUGUGGAGGAACACCAGUGGCGAAGGCGGCUCUCUGGUCUGUAACUGACGCUGAGGCGCGAAAGCGUG